AAAAGCGGAGCAAAAGAAACUAACAAGGAUUCCCCUAGUAACGGCGAGUGAAGCGGGAAGAGCUCAAAUUUGAAAUCUGGCAGUCUUCGAUUGUCCGAGUUGUAAUCUAUAGAGGCGUUUUCCGUGCCGGACCGUGUCCAAGUCUCCUGGAAAGGAGUAUCAAAGAGGGUGAUAAUCCCGUACUUAACACGACCACCGGUGCUCUGUGAUACGUCUUCUACGAGUCGAGUUGUUUGGGAAUGCAGCUCAAAAUGGGUGGUGAAUUCCAUCUAAAGCUAAAUAUUGGCGAGAGACCGAUAGCGAACAAGUACCGUGAGGGAAAGAUGAAAAGCACUUUGGAAAGAGAGUUAAACAGUACGUGAAAUUGUUGAAAGGGAAACGAUUGAAGUCAGUCGUGUUCUUUGGAUUCAGCCAGUUCUGCUGGUCUACUUCCUUGGAACGGGUCAACAUCAGUUUUGUCCGGUGGAUAAAGGUAGUAGGAAUGUGACUUCUCCGGAAGUGUUAUAGCCUAUUAUCACAUACACUGGGUGAGACUGAGGACUGCAGCUCGCCUUUAUGGCCGGUCUUCGGACACGUUCGAGCUUAGGAUGUGACAUAAGUCCC
rnacentral:rRNA from 1 species